rnacentral:rRNA from 1 species
GUGGGGAAUCUUGCGCAAUGGGCGAAAGCCUGACGCAGCCAUGCCGCGUGAAUGAUGAAGGUCUUAGGAUUGUAAAAUUCUUUCACCGGGGACGAUAAUGACGGUACCCGGAGAAGAAGCUCCGGCUAACUUCGUGCCAGCAGCCGCGGUAAUACGAAGGGGGCUAGCGUUGCUCGGAAUUACUGGGCGUAAAGGGCGCGUAGGCGGACAGCUUAGUCAGAGGUGAAAGCCCAGGGCUCAACCUCGGAAUUGCCUUUGAUACUGGCUGUCUUGAGUUUGGGAGAGGUGAGUGGAACUCCGAGUGUAGAGGUGAAAUUCGUAGAUAUUCGGAAGAACACCAGUGGCGAAGGCGACUCACUGGCCCAAUACUGACGCUGAGGCGCGAAAGCGUGGGGAGCAAACAGGAUUAGAUACCCGAGUAGUCC